rnacentral:rRNA from 1 species
GUGGGGAAUUUUGGACAAUGGGCGAAAGCCUGAUCCAGCCAUGCCGCGUGCAGGAUGAAGGCCUUCGGGUUGUAAACUGCUUUUGUACGGAACGAAAAGACUCCUUCUAAUAAAGGGGGUCCAUGACGGUACCGUAAGAAUAAGCACCGGCUAACUACGUGCCAGCAGCCGCGGUAAUACGUAGGGUGCAAGCGUUAAUCGGAAUUACUUGGCGUAAAGCGUGCGCAGGCGGUUAUAUAAGACAGAUGUGAAAUCCCCGGGCUCAACCUGGGAACUGCAUUUGUGACUGUAUAGCUAGAGUACGGUAGAGGGGGAUGGAAUUCCGCGUGUAGCAGUGAAAUGCGUAGAUAUGCGGAGGAACACCGAUGGCGAAGGCAAUCCCCUGGACCUGUACUGACGCUCAUGCACGAAAGCGUGGGGAGCAAACAGGAUUAGAAACCCCAGUAGUCC